rnacentral:rRNA from 1 species
GACAGAGGGUGCAAACGUUGCUCAGAAUUACUGGGCGUAAAGCGCGUGUAGGCGGGCCGGCAAGUCAGAUGUGAAAUCCCUGAGCUCAACUCAGGAACUGCAUUUGAAACUGUCGGUCUUGAGUGGUGGAGAGGGAAGCGGAAUUCCUGGUGUAGAGGUGAAAUUCGUAGAUAUCAGGAGGAACACCGGUGGCGAAGGCGACUUCCUGGACACCAACUGACGCUGAGACGCGAAAGCGUGGGGAGCAAACAGG